CCCUUAGAUGUCCGGGGCCGCACGCGCGCUACACUGAAGGAAUCAGCGUGGCUUUCUCACUGACCCGAAAGGGUUGGGAAACCCGUUGAAUCUCCUUCGUGAUAGGGAUUGGGGCUUGAAAUUGUUCCCCAUGAACGAGGAAUUCCCAGUAAGCGCGAGUCAUAAGCUCGCGUUGAUUACGUCCCUGCCCUUUGUACACACCGCCCGUCGCUACUACCGAUUGAACGGUUUAGUGAGGGCCUCGGAUUGGUCUCGGCCCGCUCUUUACCGGGCGGCGCCGUUGGUCGAGAAGACGCUCGAACUUGAUCGUUUAGAGGAAGUAAAAGUCGUAACA
rnacentral:rRNA from 1 species